CAGUAGGGAAUAUUGGUCAAUGGGGGCAACCCUGAACCAGCCAUGCCGCGUGUAGGAAGAAGGCGUUCUGCGUUGUAAACUACUUUUGAUUGGGAACAAAUGACUCUUGCGAGAGUAGCUGAGUGUACCAAUAGAAUAAGCCACGGCUAACUACGUGCCAGCAGCCGCGGUAAUACGUAGGUGGCAAGCGUUGUCCGGAUUUAUUGGGUUUAAAGGGUGCGUAGGCGGCUUGAUAAGUCAGUGGUGAAAGCCGAUCGCUUAACGAUCGAACUGCCAUUGAUACUGCCAGGCUUGAGUAUAGUUGAGGUAGGCGGAAUUGACAGUGUAGCGGUGAAAUGCAUAGAUAUUGUCAAGAACACCAAUUGCGAAGGCAGCUUACUAAAGUAUAACUGACGCUGAGGCACGAAAGUGCGGGGAUCAAACAGGAUUAGA
rnacentral:rRNA from 1 species